CUUUUGAUUCAAAGAUCGCAAACUCUGCCGGCGACCGAUGUCUUUGGCGGGCAAAUUUGAGUUAUUCACCGUGAACAGCGUCUCGAUCAUUUCCUCAUUCAGUCUGCAAGCACCAUUAUAGCAUUCUACUGCUUAAACAACAUUU